rnacentral:rRNA from 1 species
CCUACGGGAGGCGGCAGUGGGGAAUAUUGCACAAUGGGCGCAAGCCUGAUGCAGCGACGCCGCGUGAGGGAUGACGGCCUUCGGGUUGUAAACCUCUUUCAGUAGGGAAGAAGCGAAAGUGACGGUACCUGCAGAAGAAGCGCCGGCUAACUACGUGCCAGCAGCCGCGGUAAUACGUAGGGCGCAAGCGUUAUCCGGAAUUAUUGGGCGUAAAGAGCUCGUAGGCGGUUUGUCGCGUCUGCCGUGAAAGUCCGGGGCUCAACUCCGGAUCUGCGGUGGGUACGGGCAGACUAGAGUGAUGUAGGGGAGACUGGAAUUCCUGGUGUAGCGGUGAAAUGCGCAGAUAUCAGGAGGAACACCGAUGGCGAAGGCAGGUCUCUGGGCAUUAACUGACGCUGAGGAGCGAAAGCAUGGGGAGCGAACAGGAUUAGAUACCCUGGUAGUCCAUGCCGUAAACGUUGGGCACUAGGUGUGGGGGACAUUCCACGUUUUCCGCGCCGUAGCUAACGCAUUAAGUGCCCCGCCUGGGGAGUACGGCCGCAGGCUAAAACUCAAAGGAAUUGACGG